ACUCCUACGGGANGCANCAGUUAGGAAUCUUCCACAAUGGGCGAAAGCCUGAUGGAGCGACGCCGCGUGAGGGAUGAAGGCCUUAGGGUUGUAAACCUCUAAAAGAGGGACGAUAAUGACGGUACCUCUUGAAUAGCACCGGCUAACUCCGUGCCAGCAGCCGCGGUAAU
rnacentral:rRNA from 1 species